CGGACCUUGUACACACCGCCCGUCACACCAUGAGAGUUUUUUAUACCCGAAGUUGUUUUAGCUAACCGUAAGGAGGCGAAUAGUGACGGUAUGGGAGAUGAUUGGGGUG
rnacentral:rRNA from 1 species